CUUCUCAAGUGUCAGAUUCUAACUAAUAAUCAGUUCCUCAACUUAACUUGUGCCGACGUAAACCUUAUGUUCUUCGAGCUCCAACCUUCAAGCGCAUGCCAUUUUCCACAAAUUACAGUUUAUAAAUUUUCUAUUUCUAAUUAGCAAACAAAAGAAGUAAAAUAACCCAACAUGACUUUUGAAGGAACACCACCAUUCAACUUAAUAAAAUUAAAAAUUAGCUACUAAGCCUAUUAUAGAAUUAUUUAAAGACAAGGUAGAGGUACUAACCUUAGAAAUAGAUAUUGAAAUAGUAAACAAAAUAAGAAAAUUGAAAAGUCAUAUUUAGCUAAAGAAUAAAGAACUUAACCUUUCAAAUAUCAGCUUCGAACUGAUCAUAAGUUUUUCAACUUAACUUGUGCCGAAGCAAACCUUAUGUUCUUCGAGCUCCAACCUUCAAGCGCAUGCCAUUUUUCAAAAAUUAGAGUUUAUAGCAUUUCUAUUUCUAAUUACCAAACAAAAGAAGUAAAAUAACCCAACAAGACUUUUGAAGGAUCACCACCAUGUAACUUAAUAAAAUUAAAAAUUAGCUACUAACCCUAUCAUGGAAUUAUUUAAAGACGAGGUAGAGGUACUAAGCUUAGAAAUAGAAAUUGAAAUAGUAAACAAAAUAAGAAAAUUAAAAAGUCAUCUUUAUCUAAAGAAUAAAGAACUUAACCUUUCAAGUAUCAGCUUCUAACUGAUCAUAAGUUUUUCAACUUAACUUGUGCCGACGCAAACCUUAUGUUCUUCGAGCUCCAACUUUCAAGCACAUAACAUUUUAACAAAUUAG
rnacentral:lncRNA from 1 species